GGACCUGGAAGAAUGGCAAACCAAGCAGGGAAAAUCCAUAAUGCAUUAUUUGCUGUUGCUCUACCGGGGUCACUGCCAUUGUACGAAUUAACAGCACCUGCUGAGGACCGGGUAAUUUAACCAAAGGACUGGAACCCCCGAAAAAGGGCUUCAUACACUGAAUUGAAUUGCUGGAAGAGCAAAUGCUGAUUUCUGCUGGUACCAAGCCAGGGAAGCAUAUCCUGCUAAAAAUUCUGCAGAGGACUGCCAGAAAAUCAGUUCCACGUGACAUUUCCUCAGAGGAAGGCAAGGAAGAACCUGAAGGAAUAAAAAUCUUACUCAUCCUCGGAUCCAUGCAUUUUUCUACUCUUCAGAUGAAAGUACCAGGUAUGACCAUUGGCAGAGCAGUGGGCAGCUGGGAUGCCGAGGAACCGUGCUGAGAGACCUGAUCACAAAGAAAGAAGAGAGAAGAGGAAUUUAGUUGUUUUGUUGAUAAAGCUUGUCCUAGAUCGUCAUAAAAAAAGAAUCACAAUAAAGCAAGGCUGCUCGAUGCA
rnacentral:lncRNA from 1 species